UACGAAGGGGGCUAGCGUUGCUCGGAGUUACUGGGCGUAAAGCGCACGUAGGCGGCUUCUUAAGUCGGUGGUGAAAUCCUGGAGCUCAACUCCAGAACUGCCUUCGAUACUGGGAGCUCGAGUCCGGGAGAGGUGAGUGGAACUGCGAGUGUAGAGGUGAAAUUCGUAGAUAUUCGCAAGAACACCAGUGGCGAAGGCGGCUCACUGGCCCGGUACUGACGCUGAGGUGCGAAAGCGUGGGGAGCAAACAGG
rnacentral:rRNA from 1 species